GUGUUCUCCGCGAGGAACCAAUCCACCACUCGUUUAGACCGGGAGAGAUUCCCCGUGCUUUCGCCUCCUCCGCUCCUCGCGUCUCCUGAUGCCACCCAAAUCAAAAAGCGGCGGCUGUGGCGGCUGUGGAGCCAGUAGCCGUCGAGGACCUCUUCACCUCGCUCCACCGCCACAUCGAGGCCAAUGCUUUCGAACAGGCCGUCAAGUUCUCAAGACGGCGCCGGGGGAUGAGGAUGUGGUGCGAUGCAAAGCGGUGUGAUGCAUCAACGCCGACGGGAUCGGUAAGUUCCUCGUCAAGAUCCGCGCCGCCGAGCGCCUCCCGAUCGACCUCGGCUACUACGUACAAGGUUCAUCUAAUGCUGAGACAUGGAAAUCAUCGAGUCACUUCUUCUUGAUAUGGCAAAUUUAUGCGCUGUGACUGGUAACUUUGCUCGUAGCAAUAGGCUUGGUGAAAGAGGUUUUGGAGUGGUCUAUAAGGGCAUUCCUUCCUGAUGGUCAAGAAAUUACAGUGAAGAGGUUCUCACAUAGUUCAUGGCAAGGAAUACAAGAUCUGAAAAGUGAGGAUCAAGUGCAUGUGUUGGAUUGAAUUUUCGUGUGUUGCAGCACAAAUGUCUGUGUUCAGAUUUUGGCAGUUGGAAUCGCAGAAUGUUUCUUUAUGUAAACCUAAGCAUGAUCUGCAGAUCAAGACAAGUGGAACGGAGCAUGUUCCGGGUGGGCAUGGAUGGCGGUUUAAGGAAUGGCGUCAAUGACACGCGGCUCAAGCUGCGCUUCUCGUCCCAGCAGGGGUCGGUGAUGUCGCAGAUCUCGGAGGUGGGCAUUGAGGAGCUCAGUAACGGCAGCAGCCCCAAGGCGUCCAGAAGCACCGGUGGCUACAGUGGCAUCCUGGUCUCGUCUGGCAUGAAGCAUCCCGUGACAUUGGCCCCUCGCUGCAGAACGUGCAGCAUCCGCUCGCGCUGCGGCUCAGCCUGCCCAGAGGCAACAACUACAGCAAGCCGGCCUCGACAGAGAUCAGCAGUGAUUGAUAAGUUCCUAUUGUGCUUCGAACUGUGGUUAGCACCGCGAUGAAAACAAUGAAUGUUGAAUUAUCGGAGAUUUUAUCCAAAUGUAAGAUGGACAGUACCAGGGCGCCAUUCGUGUGUCAUCUGUGCCCAAUAAUGCUUCAGUGCAGCAGUGCCUAGUUCAUUGGCUGCCAAGGCUAAACUCAUACCGAAAUCUCAGAUGAUGUGGGCGCCAUGACCUUUUUCUUGAUUUAUGUCUAUGUGAGAAGCUUAUGCAAAGGAGUUCUUUUUUUCUCUCGAACACUGCUUAUGAAAGGAGUUGAACCAUAAUUCCUUUUUUCAUAUAUGUCUUGGAUAUCUGGAUAGAGAUGAUCUAUGAUUUGGUGACGAAUGGAUUAGCUAUGUUGAAUUUGCCACUGGAAUUAAAUUUUCUAUGUUGUAUUGGAUGAUGUCAAAUAAUUUUGGCAUUGAUCUGUGAUGAUUUUCUUAUAUUAUUCAAUAAAAUGUGUUUUUUUCUUGA